rnacentral:rRNA from 1 species
UACGUAUGGUGCAAGCGUUGUUCGGAAUCAUUGGGCGUAAAGGGUAUGUAGGCGGAUAUGUAAGUCAGAUGUGAAAACUACGAGCUCAACUCGUAGCCUGCAUUUGAUACUGUGUAUCUAGAAUUUGGGAGAGGCAAGGGGAAUUCCUGGUGUAGCGGUGAAAUGCGUAGAUAUCAGGAGGAACACCGGUGGCGUAAGCGCCUUGCUGGCCUAAAAUUGACGCUGAGAUACGAAAGUGUGGGGAGUGAACGGGAUUAGAUACCCCGGUAAUCCACACCAUAAACGUUGUCUACCAGUCGUUAGAGGUAUCAACCCUUCUAGUGACGAACCUAACGGAUUAAGUAGACCGCCUGGGGACUAUGCUCGCAAGAGUAAA